GGUUGACCUCGGAUCAGGUAGGGCUACCCGCUGAACUUAAGCAUAUCAAUAAGCGGAGGAAAAGAAACCAACAGGGAUUGCCUCAGUAACGGCGAGUGAAGCGGCAAGAGCUCAAAUUUGAAAUCUGGCUCCUCGGGGCCCGAGUUGUAAUUUGGAGAGGAUGCUUCGGGCGUGGCCCCCAUCUAAGUGCCCUGGAACGGGCCGUCAUAGAGGG
rnacentral:rRNA from 1 species